rnacentral:snoRNA from 1 species
CGUUGCAAUGAUGACACGUUUCCCACUGCUGCAUUGAGGCCGAGUGUGCCAUGCGGAGACUUCCCUUGGAGAACUGAGGAACG